rnacentral:rRNA from 1 species
UAAUACGUAGGUUGCGAGCGUUGUCCGGAUUUACUGGGCGUAAAGCGCACGCAGGCGGUUCCGAAAGUCGAAUGUGAAAGCUCCUGGCCCAACUGGGAGAGGCCGUUCGAAACUUCGGGACUUGAAGGCGGGAGAGGCAGAUGGAAUUUCCGGUGUAGCGGUAAAAUGCGUAGAUACCGGAAGGAACACCAGUGGCGAAAGCGAUCUGCUGGCCCGCCCUUGACGCUCAGGUGCGAAAGCUAGGGGAGCGACCGGGAUUAGAUACCCCGGUAGUCCUGGCCCUAAACGAUGAAUGCUUGGUGUGGCGGGUAUCGAUCCCUGCCGUGCCGAAGCUAACGCAUUAAGCAUUCCGCCUGGGGAGUACGGUCGCAAGGCUG